UUUCCGUAUCACUAAGACAUAAUGCUGAUGUUGACAGACGUUUUUCUUCACGAGACACUUCAUCCGUUCUAUCUACCACUCCAGACAUGCAAAAAGAAAUGUCAAUGCAAAGUGACGCUGCAUCAAUGUGGAACAAUUUCAACGAGAAUGAAAGAGGUAUGAUUAUCAGCAUUACGAUGCUAGGACUAUUGUUUCUUAUCUUAACAGCCAUGUACAUCUGGGCAUCUCAUCGACUUCGUGUAGACACAAAUAAUCGAAGGAAAGCAAAAGAAGAUUUGGAUAACUCUGCAGUAUGAAAAACGAGUAAUUUGUUAUAAAGUGCACUGUAUCGGGACAUGGUGUGUAAUGACUGUAUUUGUAUUUACCUAUGCUUUGUAUUUGAAGACUUUUCAUGCUUUAUUUAUGUAUAAUUCAAUAUAUAAAUUGUAGCUUGCU